rnacentral:rRNA from 1 species
GAGUUUGAUCCUGGCUCAGGAUGAACGUUGGCGGUACGCCUAAUACAUGCAAGUCCAACGGAGACUGUAGCAAUACUGUCUUAGUGGCGAACGGGUGAGUAACGCGUUGGUGAUCUGCCUCAGAGUGUGGAAUAACGGUUCGAAAGAACCGCUAAUACCGCAUAGUCUCUCUUAUUUUAGAAAUUUGAGAGUAAAGGAGUAAUCCGCUUUGAGAGGAGCCUGCGUCCCAUCAGCUAGUUGGUAGGGUAAAAGCCUACCAAGGCUAUGACGGGUAGGGGACCUGAGAGGGUGACCCCCCACAAUGGAACUGAAACACGGUCCAUACACCUACGGGUGGCAGCAGUAGGGAAUAUUAGUAAUGGAGGAAACUCUGAACUAGCGAUACCGCGUGUGCGAAGAAGGCCUUCGGGUUGUAAAGCACUUUUUGAGAGGAUGAGGAAGGACGGUACUCUCAGAAUAAGUCUCGGCUAACUACGUGCCAGCAGCCGCGGUAACACGUAGGAGGCAAACGUUAUCCGGAUUUACUGGGCGUAAAGCGCGUGUAGGUGGUACUGUAAGUAGGGCGUGAAAGCUCCUGGCUCAACUGGGAGAGGCCGUUCUAAACUGCAGAACUCGAGUCUGAUAGAGGAAGAUGGAAUUCCAGGUGUAGCGGUAAAAUGCGCAGAUAUCUGGAGGAACACCAGUGGCGAAAGCGGUCUUUCUAGAUCAAUACUGACACUCAGACGCGAAAGCUAGGCUAGCAAACGGGAUUAGAGACCCCGGUAGUCCUAGCCCUAAACGAUGUAGACUAGGCGUUGGCGGCUUAAUCGCCAUCAGUGUCCAAGCUAACGCGAUAAGUCUACGCCUGGGGACUACAGCC